UACUGGGCGUAAGCCGCACGCCAGGCGGUCCUGUCAAGUUCGGAUGUGAAAUCCCCCGGGCUCAACCCUGGGAGCUGCAUUCGAAACUUGGCAGGCUAGAGUCUUGUAGAGGAGAGGUAGAAUUCCAGGUGUAGCGGUGAAAUGCGUAGAGAUCUGGAGGAAUACCGGUGGCGAAGGCGGCUCCCUGGACAAAGACUGACGCUCAGGUGCGAAAGCGUGGGGAGCAAACAGGAUUAGAUACCCUGGUAGUCCACGCCGUAAACGAUGUCGAUUUGGAGGUUGUGCCCUUGAGGCGUGGCUUCCGGAGCUAACGCGUUAAAUCGUCCGCCUGGGGAGUACGGCCGCAAGGUUAAAACUCAAAUGAAUUGACGGGGGCCCGCACAAGCGGUGGAGCAUGUGGUUUAAUUCGAUGCAACGCGAAGAACCUUACCUGGUCUUGACAUCCACAGAACUUAGCAGAGAUGGUUUGGUGCCUUCGGGAACUGUGAGACAGGUGCUGCAUGGCUGUCGUCAGCUCGUGUUGUGAAAUGUUGGGUUAAGUCCCGCAACGAGCGCAACCCUUAUCCUUUGUUGCCAGCGGUUAGGCCGGGAACUCAAAGGAGACUGCCAGUGAUAAACUGGAGGAAGGUGGGGAUGACGUCAAGUCAUCAUGGCCCUUACGACCAGGGCUACACACGUGCUACAAUGGCGCAUACAAAGAGAAGCGACCUCGCGAGAGCAAGCGGACCUCAUAAAGUGCGUCGUAGUCCGGAUUGGAGUCUGCAACUCGACUCCAUGAAGUCGGAAUCGCUAGUAAUCGUAGAUCAGAAUGCUACGGUGAAUACGUUCCCGGCCCUUGUACACACCGCCCGUCACACCAUGGGAGUGGGUUGCAAAAGAAGUAGGUAGCUUAACCUUCGGGAGGGCGCUACUCACGG
rnacentral:rRNA from 1 species